UACGAAGGGUGCAAGCGUUACUCGGAAUUACUGGGCGUAAAGCGUGCGUAGGCGGCUUGUUAAGUCCGUUGUGAAAGCCCUGGGCUCAACCUGGGAAUUGCAGUGGAUACUGGCGAGCUAGAGUGCGGUAGAGGAUGGUGGAAUUCCCGGUGUAGCGGUGAAAUGCGUAGAGAUCGGGAGGAACACCCGUGGCGAAGGCGGCCAUCUGGACCAGCACUGACGCUGAGGCACGAAAGCGGGGGGAGCAAACAGG
rnacentral:rRNA from 1 species